rnacentral:rRNA from 1 species
CUGGCUCAGGAUGAACGCUGGCGGCGUGCCUAACACAUUCAAGUCGAACGAACCGUAGAAAUACGGUGAGUGGCGGACGGGUGAGUAACGCGUAAGCAAUCUGCCUUUGUGUGUGGAAUAACAACCGGAAACAGUUGCUAAUACCGCAUAACGCAGAGAGAUCGCAUGGUCUAUCUGCCAAAGAUUUAUCGCACGAAGAUGGGCUUGCGUCCGAUUAGAUAGUUGGCGGGGUAACGGCCCACCAAGUCGACGAUCGGUAGCCGGACUGAGAGGUUGAACGGCCACAUUGGAACUGAGAUACGGUCCAGACUCCUACGGGAGGCAGCAGUGGGGAAUAUUGGGCAAUGGACGAAAGUCUGAACCCCAGCGACGCCGCGUGAGGGAAGAAGGUCUUCGGAUUGUAAACCUUAGUCAACAGGGACGAAGCAAGUGACGGUACCUGUGGAGGAAGCCACGGCUAACUACGUGCCAGCCGCUGC